CAUGCCUUGGAGAAGCCCUGCUGUGAGGCACCCACGCAGAUCCAGACACUCACUGACCAUGGUGGGAGGUGGCACCUAUUUUAUUUUUAUGAUGAGAGGGAACCUCAAACUCUACUGUGAUGUAAGUGGUCUCAAAGGCCCUUUGAAGUCACCAUUUUAUCUAAAUCAGAAAUAGGAAAAAAAUAAGAAAUGGCCAGCUUAGAAAGACUCAAAUUCUUUUGCGGGGGGAAAAACCAGGAAGAAAGAAAAGAAAAAUACAUUGUUUCCUUGGCCAUCUGUGUGAAGAAAUAACAAAACCACCGUUGACAUACCAGCAGGAAAGAACACUGGAGAGCUUCACUUGACAGAAUUAUUACAAACGCCUCUUCCUGGUUCAGGGGGAAAAAAAAUUCCAAAUAGGUUUGUGAUAUUUUUUUCCCUAGCAUGCUUGCAACUCCCAGUAGAGCCAAUAACCAGUUUUCAAAACCUUUUGAUUCUACUCAUCCCCUGGUUAAUAAUUUCCAGUUUACCCAGCAGGCUACGUAACAUCCCCUUUCCUGGGAAAGAAUUUCUGUGCCCCGGCUGGCAGUGAACUGGUCCCCUUAGCAGCUGACCUCCUCCUCCAGCCCUGUGGCUGCCUCCUCUCCAACAGGGACCCUCCUGGACACCAUCACCAACCCAUCAGGCUGGCAUGCACUCUCAAAUCUACUGCCCCUAGCAACAGGAUGCAGUUCAUGUUCACUAAAAUGACUUAUGAGCUGCUUGCAGCGGGCUGAGUGUUGACGCUGCUCCCUGCCACUGGAAAAAAAGAUAUGCCCACAUCCAGAUCUCAGGAACUCAUGGAUGUGACCUCAUUUGGAAAAGGGGUCUUUGCAGACGUAAUUAAGUUAAGGAUCUUGAGAUGCAGUCAUCUUGGAUUAUCUGUGUGGUCCCUAAAUCCAAUGACAAGUGUCCUUACAAUACACGCAGAGAGGAGAAGCCUGACAGGAGAAGCAGAGAUAAUGACUGGAGACAGGGAUUGGAGAGAUGCAGCCACAAGCCAAGGGAUGCUAACAAGCACCAGAAGCUGGAGGAGGAAGGAAGGAUUUUCCCCCGGAGCCUGCAAAGGGAGUGCAGCCCCGCCCACACUUUGACUUUGGACUUCUGGUCUCUGGAAUGCUUCGAUAAGAAAUGGUUGUUUGAAGCUACCCAGUUUGUGGUAGUUUGUCACAGCAGCCACAGCAAACAAAUCCAGUGCCCUCCACCCUUUUCACCCUGAAACCGCAUGAGGACUGGGUGGAGUAGGCAGGCAGUCUUGGCCAUCCCCAUUUUAGAGAGGAGGGGACACUGAGGUUCAGAGAGGCAGAAGGAGCUGCUUGAGCCACAUAGCCAGUGAGCUUCACCAGUGUCAAGCCUGGAACCUGGCUCUCCUGAGUCCUCCUCCAUGCACUGUCCUUUCUGGAACAUUCUGCCAGCCACCCUGCACCAGGCACUGGUGGCCUGUGAGCUGUGAUUGUCUCUGUAACCAGGACAGGUUUGCAGGGUCCCAAAGCAGCUCCUCCCAAUACCAAGCAAAUGGCUGGUGGGCAUGAGGGCCCAUCUGAGAACAUGGGAAGGAGCAGCUGUCACCGGGGAUCAGGCCCGCCUGACUUCAUUAGCACC
rnacentral:lncRNA from 1 species